UUCAGAGGCGCCCGGCUUGAUCAUGUUUAAAACAGAAUGCUGGAUUAUAUGGCAUUUGGUCCAGUCCAGGGGAGGUCUUCUUACUUCUUGCAAAUCCCACUUGCUCCCAAGGAAUAUCCUGACUCACCAUUUGUCUCCAAGUGAAGUCUCUGGAGAAAAGAAGAAGAAGAAGAAAGGCAUGCACUUGGUAUUCAGGAUACAGAGCGCUGCAAAACGCAACUCUAUGGCACAUUCUGGAAAAGUGAAUGCAAAUCAGACAUUUGCCUUUCAUUUGACGAACACCCAGCCUCCCCCGGAUAGUUCUGAGUGGAGUGAUUGAUUGAAUGAUUACUUUAUAAUGAUACUUUAUAAGCUGUGCCUGUUAAUAUAGCAGUUUGUUUAUAACAGGCACUUAUAUAUAAUGUUAUAAAUACAUAAUGCAUCAAGAAUGAUUGAGCUCUGUCUGGAAUGCACCGAGAAACAAUACGGUGCUGUGACACUCUGGGGUAUUUUCAUUUAGGGUAUACAGUACUGGAAUGCAGUAAGGAACAACAGGAUGCUGUGGCAGAGAGGUGUUUUCAGUUGGCAAGGCAUGUACUCUGAGAAGUAGCGAGAAGCAUUAGAGUGCUGGGGUAGACAUCUCUGUCUGCUCGGCCUAGUAUGGACUCUGGAAUGUCGUCAGGAGCAGAACAGUCCUGCUGUCUUCCCGGGAUGCAGUAAGAAACAAUGGAAUGCUGUAGCAUGCAGAUGCAGUUAACAUGGGAAUGGGCAUCAGACUUCCACUAGAUUUCCAGAAGUGGCUUUUACAUCACAUGAAAGAUCACAUUAAAAAAAGAAAAUUAUCAGGAGGGAGGCAGGACAAGCAAGGAGGGGAAAGCGAGAGCCAUCAAUAUUGGAACUGCUAUAUUUCUCAAAUAAAAUUUAUUGACAGGGGACUUGGUGGGUUUGAUUGUUUGCUAAGGGAACGCUUUCCAAACGGCUGAAGACAAUGAGUGCAUAGGAAAGAGUCAGAUUAAUGCAGAAUGAUAACAGUAAUUCUGUCUCCCAUGCUAAUAGCUGCAC